rnacentral:rRNA from 1 species
UACGUAGGGGGCGAGCGUUAUCCGGAAUUACUGGGUGUAAAGGGUGCGUAGGCGGCAAUGCAAGUCAGUCGUGAAAGGUAUGGGCUUAACCCGUAAACUGCGAUUGAAACUGCAUAGCUAGAGUGCAGGAGAGGAAAGCGGAAUUCCUAGUGUAGCGGUGAAAUGCGUAGAUAUUAGGAAGAACACCAGUGGCGAAGGCGGCUUUCUGGACUGCAACUGACGCUGAGGCACGAAAGCGUGGGGAGCAAACAGG